GGGAGUGGAUCGGUGCCGGUGUGCCGCCUGGACUUCAAAUCCAGUGGACGGGGCUAGACACUUCGUCGGUGGGUUCGACUCCCACGCAUUCCCGCCA
rnacentral:tRNA from 1 species